UACAGAGGUGGCAAGCGUUGUUCGGAAUUACUGGGCGUAAAGGGCGUGUAGGCGGUCCCGUCAGUCCCUUGUGAAAUCCCCCGGCUCAACUGGGGAACUGCAAGGGAUACAGCGGGGCUUGAGUUCGGGAGAGGGAAGCGGAAUUCCGGGUGUAGCGGUGAAAUGCGUAGAUAUCCGGAGGAACACCGGUGGCGAAGGCGGCUUCCUGGGCCGAUACUGACGCUGAGGCGCGAAAGCUAGGGGAGCAAACGGG
rnacentral:rRNA from 1 species